rnacentral:lncRNA from 1 species
AAGUGGUGGUUUAAUUAGGCAGCCCAUCCGGUUUUAGUUGGACUUGGAGAGCACCAGCCCGUUAUUCUUCCACUGCACAGAGCGGGAGCUAUUCGUUGCUCUGUGAAACCAGCCUCACGCAGUCCACCCCACUCUAAGAGCCAAGUAGCCCAUACUUUUGUUUGGACCACGUGACUCACCUCUGUGCUUGGAUAGGGCAGGCCGGAGAUUAGCUCACCAAGCCCAGCCAUCACGAACAACCCAACAUUCCCCCACUUUGAUGCCCCCACUUAGGUCAGAAGCCCACGUUACAAGGCUCGGCAAUGUCAGGUCCAUCUCAUCAAACUAAUAAACACGAAUAAGUCAUUGUUCAAAAACAAUGCGGGAGAAAUGCCUUUAUUUUAACAUUGAAUAAGUUGUUGCAAUGACAUAUAACAGUUGUAGCAGAAAGCAUAAUAUGGAUAUCAGUGAAAACUGUCGAUCUUUAUUAUAGUGGCAAAGUGAAACACGAUCAAAGUUCCGAAAUUACUUUUGUAUUUAUCCUCAAGUAUAUAUAAUUCACUUAGUAGUAGAUUUUGAAUCAUACAUCAUGAUCAAAAAUCUCAUGAUAUGUUAAUUCGAUAGCCUAGGAAGUGUAAGUAGUUAAUUUGCUACCUUCAUAAUUCGUGUAAAAAGGUUCUCAAAGGAUUUGCUUGACUAAGUGUACUCCAACUACAAUUGAGUUCAUACUUCUGGGAGUUACUUAGUGAUCAUGUGCUGCACAGCAUUAACUUAGUUCACUAGUAACACUUUGUGUAUCGGAUGAAUCAUCUUGCAUUGGUGUUGUUGGAAAUGUGAAAUUUAUGUUAAGAGAGCAUUUUCUCCCUAAAUGACCAUGGUGCAAAUAUGAAUUAAAAAAGUGGUGGUUUAAUUAGGCAGCUUAUCCGGUUUUUAUUGAACUCGAAGAGCACCAACCUGUUAUCCUUCCACUGCACAGACCGGGGACUACUCGUUGCUCUGUGAAACCAGCCUCACGCAGUCCAUCCCACUCUAAGAGCCAGGCAGCCUAUGCCUUCGUGUAGACCACACGGCUCAACUCCGCGCUUGGAUAGGGCAGGCCAGAGAUUAUAGCCCAUCAAAGCUCAGCCAUCAAGAACUACCCAACAUUCCACCACAUUGUUGCCCCCACUUGAGUCACAAGCCCACGUUACAAGGCUCGGCGAUUGUAGCUGUCUUGUUUCUCACUUAUAAAGUCCCAAAAUUCUCUAUUCAUAAAUGAUGUGGGAAGAAGAUAACUUUAUUGCAGUCUAUGUUAUUCAGAUUCUUUGAAAAUGUCAACAGAUGCGUGUCAGAUUCUCCAAAAAAUAGUGUGUUUUUGGAGUAUCCGACAGGAGUGCGGCAACAAAAGUGAAGAGACCCGCGCAACUUAGAUUUUAGUUAGCAUUUCAAACAGUUUUCUACCGGUGGAUAAAAUAAUAAAAUCAGGUCAAUCCAUGAUAUCAUUUCUGGAGGAACAUUUCUAAUGUUGGAAUUGUUUCUGUAGUGUAUGUUACUGUUAUGUUUUCAGGGUGCGGCUCUUUUCCGGACCUUGAAUGAUCGCGAGAUUUUUAAUACACUUGACUACUAAUUUGAUGAUCCAUUAGGAGUGUCAUCUUCUAACAAUCUGCUCCUGCCUAAUAAUUUAUGAGGCAGUGAGAAACUGUCUUUUUUAUUUUCAGAUAUGAUGUUGAAUUUUCACUCAAUUUUGUUGUUAAAAUUCGUAUAUAGCUCAAACUCUUCAAAAAUGUCAAUGGAUGCGUGUUAGAUUCUCCAAAAGUACUGUGCUUUUGGAGUAUCCUACGGUGGUGCGACAACUAAAGUGAAGAGUCCGUGCAACUUAGAUUUUAGUUAGGAUUUCAAACAGUUUUCUACUACAACAACAACAACAUUCUCAGUGUAUUCCCACAAAGUAGGGUCUAGGGAGGGUAAAAUUUACACAGUCCAUACCACUACCACAGAUGAAGAUGAAGUAGAUGAGUUGUUUCCGAUAGGCCCCGGAUAGCAAUAUAACAAACAAAAAACAUAAAAUAAACAACAAAACGGGAUAACACUGCUAGAUAAUAAAGAAACAAGACACCAACAAAAUAAUACCGUAAACUAUUUAUUCGAGAUCACAAAUAUCAUCAAAUACUAAAAACAAGAAACUACAGGCACAGAUACAAACAAUUUUCUAUCCAGUGGAUAAAAUAAUAAAAUCAAGUCAAUCCAUGAUAUCAUUUCUGGGGGAACAUUCCUAAUGUUGGAAUUGUUUAUGUAGUGUAUGUUUUACUGUUAUGUUCUCAGGGUGCGGCUCUUUUUCGGACCUUGAGUGAACGCGAGAUGCGUAGUACACCUGAUUGCUUAUUUGAUGAUCCAUAAGGAGUGUCAUCUUCUAACAAUCUGCUCCUACCUAAUAAUUUAUGAGGCGGUGAGAAAUUUCUGGCUUUUUUGUUUUCAGAUAUGAUGUUUGUUGUUCGUGAAAAUUCAUAUAUAGCUGACUCCAACUAAUUUGGGGUUAAGGUGUAAUUGGAUUCAUUAUUGUUCUUAAGUGGUAUUUACAAUGUAAUGAAUUCAGCACUACAAAUCUUAAAGGUCGAACUCAUUAAAUUUAAAUCUUGAAUCUGUCUCUGAACGUAACCAUCGAUUUUAUCCUGAAUACUCCAGCAUAGCUCAUUUGGCACAUAGUUUGAACUGACUUAGAAUUGACUGUCAUAUGUCAUUCAACAUUGAACUUUCUUGUAACAAUCCAAAAAUUUUGUUAGUAUGAUUAUUCUGCAUUUUGCUUAUUCUACUUGAUGAUGAAUAAGCUGAUUAUAAACAAGUAGGUGAUGUGCGUCAGAUAAGUGAUUAGCAACAUCUUUCAUUGAUCAAAUACUCAUGAGUCAAUAGUUUCUUGGCUAAUGGCAACAGUCAACCUUCUAUACUGGUUAUGUUUAUUAAUUUACGCGCUGAGGCAAAUGUCAAGCACGAUCAAGGUUCUGAAAUAAGUAGAUUUUUGGAUCACACGUCAUGAUCAAAAUAUCUCUUAUCGUCCUCAAUUCACCUCUAAUAAUAGGUGUAAGUCUUGUCUGCGUCCUCCUUGUGGAGUAAUAGAGUCAAAUAAAUGCACAAGGUCAUUUCGAUCCCUCAAAAGUUACCUAUCCAAGCAGAAAGAUCGUCUAAUUCCAAAGGUGGCUCGAAAAAAAUGGUGGUUUAAUUAGGCAGCGGGAGCUAUUCGUUGCUCUGUGAAAACAGCCUCACGCAGUCCACCCCACUCUAAGAGCCAAGCAGCCCAUACUUUCAUUUGGAUCAUGUGACCCAACUCUAUGCUUGGAUAAGGGCAGGCCAGAGAUUAGCUCACCGAGUCCAGCCAUCAAGAACAACCCUACAUUCCCCACUUUGAUGCCCCUACUUAGGUCAGAAGCCCACGCUACAAGGCUCGGCAAUGUCAGGUCCAUCUCAUCAAACUAAUAAAAAUGAAUAAGUCAUUGUUCAAAAAUGAUGUGAGAGAAGUGCAUUUGUUUAAACAUAGAAUAAGUUGUUGCAAUGACACAUAAUACUCUCUCUGGCAGAAAGAACAAUAUGGAUAUCAGUGAAGACUGGCAAUCUUUAUUAUUUUUGUAAGUACAUAAUUCACUUAGUAGUAUAUACAUCUUCAUUAGUUAAGGGAGAUGUAUAUAUAUAAUUCACUUGGUAGUAGAUUUUGGAUGAUACAUCAUGAUCAAAAUCUCAUGAUCAGUUAAUUCGAUAGCCUAGGAAGGAAGGGUAAGUAGUUAAUUUGCUACCUUCAUAAUUCGCGUAAAAAGGAUCUCAAAGGAUUUGCUUGACUAAGUUUACUCCAACUCCAAUUGAGUUCAUACUUCUGGGAGUGGAACAACUGCUUCGAAAGCUGCCACGAGCCACUCUUGUUCUCUUAGCAGGAGUUAACUUAGUGAUCAUGUGCUGCACAGCAUCAACUUAGUUCACUAGUGACACACAGUGUAUCGGAUGAAUCAUCUUGAAUUGGUGUUGUUAGGAUCUGGUUAACUGCUUCUCUUAUGAGAUUGACAGCAUCAUUUCUGCUGAAACUUCUCCGAUAGUGGCUUAUAUUAUCUUUUUCUUCAGAGAAAUCCUGAAGUAAGUUGUCCGUAUACGCCUCAGCUGGUGUUUUGAUGUCGUUUACCUCAUCAUCUAUUCCGUCAAGUAGUUCGUUCCCUACUUUUGAUACAACAUCUGAAAGUAUGUGCUGUGAUAUCAUCUGCCACAUGCUGACGUGCUUCUGUUUGUUCGCUUGUUUUCUGUAUGUUCCAUCGUUGUCUUCUGAAUGUACAAUCAUGUCAUUUUCUUGUGUUUCGUCACUGUCAUUGCCCGCAUUUGAGGUAGCAAAAGAUGUUCCUUUUUGAGAAUCAUUUGAAUCACCACAGGCCUCUUUUUCAUCAAUCUGAGCUUCGGGUUCUAACUUUGUAUGUCCAUUUUCCUUAAGUUCUUGCUUAGCUUUUCCUUCAACCGAUGCCUUAUCACUCGAAGUGCUUGUUACUUCAUCCAACUUCUGGUAAAGUACACUGUUCCUUUUGUCUAAGUGCGUGGAAUACUUUGAACGAACGCUAUAUGCCAUCUGCAACUUGUCUUCAUUUCUAGUUUUCAGUUUAGGAGAAGUAACUUGGAUAUUGCUGCCGCGGGGAGGAACUACCGAUUCAAAAGCUGAUACAAGCAGUCCCACUUUUUUUUUCUGAGUCGGAGCAAGCUUACUUAUCACCUUCUGUAGUGCAAAAUCAAGCAUCCAUUCUUCUGCACUUUUCCUUUCAUCCUCUAUCUGAUGUUUCAGAUUAACCUUUUCUGCUUCAGGAUCAGGCUCCGGCUGCAGAAACCGUGGCUUCCUUGGGUUGAAUUUUCUCAACUUCUCUAAUUCCUUGAUGAAUCGUUGGAGAAGAAUCCAUCUUUUAAGAUUGCUCCAGUUCUUUGGCGCUUUCUUCUCAGCUUCGCUGGUUAUAUGUCCCUUUUUCUGUUUCUCAGGGCUGCCAGUGUUUUCUCCGGUAAUAUUUCUCUCAUCUGACUUGGAUGCCUUAUCGUGUUCCUCAUUCUUGGUGUCCGACUCCUUGAAGUCUUCAUCGCUACAAACUGUUGUAUAGUGAAAACUCAUAUCAAUAACUUGCGGAAAAUUUUAUCUGUAGAACUUAUAAAAGGAGAGGAUAGGAAAAAAUUCAUGUCUUACCUUCACUUGUUACUGAUGAUUGAUUAUCUGAUGACUGAUCUUGAACUUCUUGAAGAAGAACUCUCUCGAUUGCUUCUCGUACUAGCUUAAUGGCUAAAAGUUUACGCGCUUCAGUCUCUUGGUUAUCUGCGUCUUGAUUUGUAGUCAUCAAGUCACUUUCGGAAAAACUAGAAAAUGAAUCAGAACUUUCUGCUGGACAAGUUUUGUUGCCCUCAUCCUUGUCAUUUUCUUCAUCAGCUCCACGGCUAACUUCGCUAUCCAAUUCUGUAGAUUCAUCCGGAAUCAUGUGUCUAUGAAUCAGGCUCCACAUGCUCCUAUGAUUCUCUUUCGGCAACUGAGCUACGUGCAACUCCUUGGACGAGGUAUUGUGAUCAACAUCUUCGGUUGGAUUAGCUUUGCCAUCCUUCUCUUGCAAACUCUCUUCGAGUUCCAUUCUAGCAAAUGGUUCGACAAGAUCUUCUGAUUCUGAACUUUUCUUUAUGGCAAAUGGUUCAUUCUUAGACGGUUCUUCUUCUUCACAGAUAUUGUCAUCCUCCUCGACUGUGGUGUCAGUGUCUACCGGCUUUAUCAGAAGCGUAGCAUCUCUAUCCUCUUCUUCGUAAAAUGCUGAUGUUGUUACACUCUGAUCAUUUGAUUCUACAUCAUCACUAACAGAAGCGGAUUCGUCCCAUUCUCUUUCCAUAGUAACCAGCGCAUCCUGAUCUUGUGUCGAAUAUUUCCUCAUUAAGUCCAUUGUCUCGCGGUAACUUCUCUCCGGAAAUGAAGUUUCACCAAACACAAUCUCAACGAUAUCAGCAUACUCAAUACCCUCAUAGUCAAGGUUGCUCGACUCACUUUCUAGUCUAAUGUUCUUCGCUGAUUUUACCGGUCUUCUCCUUCUAUAUACGCACUUUACUUGACGCGAUGGAUUAAUAUUAUCACGUCUAUUGAGUGAACAAUGAUGGUAUGAACAAACUCUCACUUUCGAAAUCCUGUCUGAUUCACUUUUUCCAGGAUGAAGUUCCACAUGUUGAGGGAACUUUGAGUCUUUCAAAGUGGAACAACAAGUUGGCUUAACUAUUACUUGUUGGCAAUUUGAGUUAACCUUCACGCUUUUAAAACUAGAGGUCCUAGAUAAAGUACUCCAACUUUGAUCACUACUAUCAAAACUAGAUUCAGAACUAUGAGGACUUGACUGGAAAUGACUUCUUUUCCCUUCAGAACAGCUUGUUGCCUUCAUAUAAUGAGGCGACGAAUCGGAUGAUGGAUGCUGAGGAGUUGCUGCAUAAUCAGAGGGAGAUUCAGGAUUGAUUCUUGAUUUUGAUCUUCUCCUAGAUGACCUUGUGUUGCCAAAAUUUGUCAUCAUUUUGUUUUUUCAGGUUAGUUGUGUUGUUGAUUCUGUUAAACCAAUGAUCUUGAGGUUGAUGAAUUUUCAAUAGCAUAUAAGGGGUAGUUCACCUGAAUGAGAAUUUAGCAAAAAUGGAAAAAAUGAUCUAACUUUUGAGGAAGAAACUUGUAUAACUUUGACAAGAAAGAGAGGUGCAAAAUUCUGUCUUUAUUAGUCUAUUUGAUUAUUCCCCCUUCCAUCUUUACUUGUCUGCUAUUAAUUUGACUUUACUAGUAAUAAAUUUAAUACUUUAAAAAAUAUAUUGGAUAAUGAUUAUAGUUAAUAAAACUAAGAUAAAGUAGGCAUAAAUGGUAAAUUAUUCAUUAAUUUUUCAAGAGAUAAGCAUUCAGUACCCCUCAAACUAUGAUCAAAGUUGUUACACACAUUCCAACUUCAUAGAGUCCUAUUUAGGCCCAAGUCAGCUAAAAUGAUUGACAAAAGAUAUCACAUCACCAUAAAAAAAUGACAAAACUUUGUUAAAAUUUAGUUCAGGGGUAAUAGAAACUCUGUGAAGUUGGAGUGUGUCAUAGAAAUUUUGGUCAUAAUUUAGGGGUACAAGAUGUUAAUCAUUUUUCAAAUUGGACAAGUAUUGUCAGACAUCUGUUUUUGUUAACAUGGACAUACAAGUAAAGAUGAACGGAGUAAGUAGUUAUUUUUGAUGCAAAGGCGGAGCCAGGAUUUCAACUGAGGGGGUUCAAUAUUCAAAGAAAAUUUAAUUGAAGGGUUCAAUACCUAUUAUAACAACAUAAAAAAUAAUUUUAAUUAUAUAUAAAUAAUAUAUUUUUCGAAGAGGUUCGGCGGAACCUAAAGGAUACUAGCUCCGCCUCUGCGUUGAUGAGAAAUUUGGUGAAACUAAACUUGGGUUACUAUUGGUUUUUAAUUUUUGGCUGAUGGAUAAAGGAAAAGGCAAGGAAAGAUCCAUAGUUUGUUUGGUUUGUUUAUAGUGUUUGUCCCAUAUCUCUCCCUACAUGUCUAGCUUUGAGCUAAUAAUAUUUCUUUUUAAAUAUUCGCGAAAUUUACUAACCUAACAAAUUUAAAUUCACAUUAAGUGGACUCACUGAUCCUCAAUUUCUCGCGACUCAAACUUGAGAUUGUGGUAUACAUACCUUGGUGGUUAAGAUGGUUUCUUUCAAUGCCAUAAGCCCCUCCAAAACUUAGACUUUUCUUUUUAUGAAAAAGAUUUUUUUAUUUUAUUUUUUAAAGAAUCUUUAACUAAUUAAUUCUUCUUGUUGAAAUGUUUUUUCUGUUGUGUUGGAGGUGAGAAUUUUUUUAAUACAUGAAUGACAGUGACACCCUUCAUUUGUAUUGUUGUGGUAGUUGUCAAGAAAGUUAGGCUAUCUAAUUAAGAUUAUAUUUAACUUUAUGUUUGACAUAAUAAAAGACAAUAGAUUCCAAAUCUUGAUGUUGGAUCAAAGUGAUUGGUCCUUUCUUUAUUCACAUAAAAAAAUCUAGCAGUAACCGACAUUUAAGGUAAAGAUAAAAUUUGCUUACACAGCAACUUUUCCCGACUCUACUUGUGAAAUUAUAUUAGGUAAAUCGUGCGAAUUUUUUAUUUUUAAUAUCGUAUUUAUGUUGUGUCACACCCCUUUUUUCAACACGAAAAAGAUUAUAUUUUAUGGUUCGAAAAGGUUUUUAUUAUUAAAGUGACAAAAGUAUGAAAAUCUGUUUUUAAAAAGGACUAUUGACAUUUUUUAUUCAUAGUCGCCACUUGACAUAAUCCGGUGUGCCAAGUCACCUUUGGAAACUCCUUAUCAAAACAUUUUGACUCUUGAAACUGGUUUGCGAACAGAGAUUCCGGCUAAGGAAUUCUGUUGACCGAAGGGAGGGUAUUAGGCACCCCUCGAUCCCGUGGUUUGACCAUGGUCGCUUGGUAGGGAGUAUUGGCUAACUUGACAUCAACGAGUGUAUAAACCACAUGAAACACAUAAGGCAAUCAAUCAAACAAACACACCCAAACAAAUCCCCAAAAUAAUGUUUAGUCCAAUUAUACAGACCAAAGUAAAAAGAAAUACAAAAAUAUAAAUCCUAUUCUAACCUACCCUAAUCCUAACUACGCUCCCAUCUACCCGAUGCUUCGGGCCUUCAUCACGGACGUCCUCCGAGUACAAAAUACUUCGGGGCAUUCCCAGGAGAAAAUAAUACAAGUACUUCGGGGCAUUCCCCGGCCAAAUGAUACAAUCGAAUCAAGUACGACAAACUUAGAAAAUAUUCAAUAAACAUUUCAUAUUCAAACAUUCAACGAAAAACUAAAUCCUAAAUUUUGCCGACCCGAACUUACAUUGCCUAUCCGUUUCCACAUGUCAUAACUCUUUCACGUUCACACAAUGUUUAUGCUUAUUCCAGAUUAACAAAAAUAAUAAUAAACCCACGUUAAUCUAAUUCAACCCCUUUUAUCAAGUUCUUAAUUUCACCCCCGGCUAGCUUCGUUUUUAUCAAUCAACAAUCAACACAUGAUCAAAUUCUUUCCUCAAACCACCAUAGCUGAAUCAACAAACGUCAUGAUCAACAUCAACAAUAAAGCCAACAAACAUAAUACCAUCACACAUAAUCACAACCAAUUCAACACACCAAGAUAAAUAAAGAAGAGAGCAGGUUAAGAAAUGGACCUUUCGAUAUCGAAUUUCGUUGAUAAUAUAAGUUAAAAAAACCCGAGUUUGGAAUCCUUGAUAGCACCUCAACGAUGAAUAAGCUCCAAACUCAAUAUUAGAAUAAUAGCCAAGCAGUUUCAAGGCCAGCGAAUAAGAACUCCUAACGCAGGAUUUAAAUCACGAACGAGGACCCGAUUGACCGCGAAACCAAUCGAAAUCUGAUAUCGACGACGAACAAAAUAAAAGACGAACCCAAAAUCCCAACAACCCAAUAGAAACCUGAUGUAGACCGAGCUCCAGUGAGCUUCGAUGAGCUCUGAUGAUGGCCGAAACAGCGGGUCAAGAUGAUGCUGACACGUUCUGAUGUUUCUAGGCCAGAUUCACUUCGGAGCCUGUAAGAAAACGAUGAGAUUUCUCUGAUUUCGAGAUGGGUCAGAUAAGUCGACACAUUAGACGGACCCCGGCAAAGAAGUUCUAGAAAAAUAAGCAACUCAGUGGAUUCUCAUUCUUGUCCCUUUCCCCGAUCUCCCUAUUUCAACCUCUCUUCCUCUUCAAUUUUCUUUCUAUCUGGGUAUAUAUCGUGAGUGUGACUUCAUAAAAGAAAUGAAAAGAAAGAAAGAAAAGAAAAAAAAUUGUGGUAUUGGUCUUCUCUGUUUUCUCUAUGAGGAUGAUGAUGAAGAAGCAAAAGGGAACAAUCCAACAAAUAUUCCCCCCUUCCUAAUCUUUAUGUGCGUGUAUAUAUAUUUCUGUGAGUGGGGUAUGGGGCACGCGAGUGGGGUGAGAGGGUAGGGGUAGGAUAUCUUGAAAUUUCCUGGGAGGUUCCUCGUGGGACCCCCUGGUAUAUGUGAUGUUGUGUAUAUUAUAUUUACAAAUGAAACAAAUGGAAAAUGGUCAGCAAAAUGAAAAAUUCUAAAUUGGAAGUAUAUCCUUGUGGGUCCCUCCAGGUUGUUAUCUUGGUGUGUAUGUAUAUUCUUUCUUUGUGGACAAGAAAAUGAGGGGAGGGGGGGGAUCACGUGGGUGUGGUGUCCUAAUUUUAUUGGAGGGGUUGUUAGGGUGUUGAAAAUAAGACAAAAAUUGUUAUGAUUUGUUAUUUGUAUAAUGACAAAAUAAAUAAAUAGAUAAGUAAAAUGACGAGGGGUUUAAUUAUUUUCUUAAGGAAAAAUUACUACGCGGAUAGGGUAUGUAGUAAAACGGGAUAAACGAUAAAAUUUGUGAAGGGACGAAAUUAAGUGUCUACAUCAUGCCCCCUUUGAAUGUAAACACUCAGUGUUUCCAUACAAAGAAGUAGACAACGAGACAGAAUUUUGUCCCGAUCAUUAUUCGAAGCAAGAAACAAAAGGAAAAAAGACAACCGAGUCUUGGCGGACAUCCUACCUACCCAAGUUUUGAGGGAAUCAAGUGGCAGGUAUCUCAAAGGAUUGGAAAAAGAUGAAUUAUACCGAGUUGGAGAGUCGAGUGAGGUUCCAUCGAGGUUUCGAUCCGGGAUUCUGUCAUUACAUAAAAAAAUGAAAAUUACAAGUUAAAACAUAAAUGGAAUUACAAAAUCCUAUCUAUGCAGCUUUCCUUGACUCUUGACUUGAGUUUUAUCACCCUAUUCUUCAGGCGGGCUCCUAACUUUCAAUUUCUUUCAACUUGUUGCUUGGUUUUCCGUUGCUUCAAUUCGUUGCUCAACUUUUAUUUAUUCGCCCUGCUCUCUAGGCGGGCUUCUGACUUGCCAUUUUUGUCCUUCAAUUUCAUCACUCUAUUCUUCAGGCGGGUUUCUGACUUGCAGUUUCUUCAAUUUCCCGUUUCAUUACCCUGUUCUUCAGGUGAGCUCCUGACUUACAGAUUCAUCACCCUGUUCUCCAGGCGGGCUUCUGAAAUCAAACUAAAAACUAGAAAAAAAAUUAUCCCCAACAAAGAUUAAGAUUAAGAGAGACUUCAUUUUUCUGAAAGUAAUGUCCCAUUUUCUAGGAGGGUCCUGAACAUAAAGUAAAAUCUUAUUUUCCAGGAGGGUUUUGAACAUAAAGUAAAAUCUCAUUUUCCAGGAGGGUCCUGAACGGAAAGUAAAAUCCCAUUCUUCAGGAGGGUCCUGAACGGAAAGUAAAAUUCCAUUCUUCAGAAGGGUCCUGAACGAAAAGUAAAGUCCCAUUGUUCAGGAGGGUCCUGAACAGAAAAUAAAAUCCUAUUUUUCAGGAGGGUCCUGAACAGAGAGUAAACUCCCAUUUUUCAGGAGGGUCCUGAACAGAGAGUAAAAUCUCAUUUUUUAGGAGGGUCCUGAAUAGAGGGUAAAAUCUCAUUUUUCAGGAGGGUCCUGAACAAAGAGUAAAAUCCUAUUUUUUUAGGAGGGUCCUGAACAAAGAGUAAAAUCUCAUUUUUCAGGAGGGUCCUGAAUAGAGAGUAAAAUCCCAUUUUUCAGGAAGGUCAGAAAGUAAAAUCUCAUUUUCAGGAGGGUCCUGAACAGAGAGUAAAAUCUUAUUUUUUUUAAGAGGGUCCUGAAUAGAAAGUAAAAUCCUAUUUUUCAGGAGGGUCCUGAACAGAAAGUAACAUCCCAUUUUUCAGAAGGAUCUUGAACAGAAAGUAAAAUUCCAUUUUUCAGGAGGGUCCGGAACAGAAAGUAAAAUCCCAUUUUCAGGAGGGUCCUGAACAGAAAGUAAAGUCCCAUUUUUCAGGAGGAUCCUGAACAGAAAGUAAAGUCCUAUUUUUCAGGAGGGUCCUAAAAAUAAAGUAAAGUUUCAUUUUUCAGGAGGGUCCUGAACAAAAAUUAAAAUAUCAAGAUAUUCAUUCCGAAUGAUAGCUGAAUUUACUGAACAAAAACUUCGCCCUUGUUUCAUCAAAGAAAGAAAAAUUAUUCAGUUAACUUAGUGGUGGCUUGCAGCACUUGGCUUUCCAAGCAUCUGCUCCAGUAGUUGUUCCUUUCAUCUUUGUUUCAAAUUACUGACCCUUGCCCCUGUCUUGUCGCAUCAUUGACUCAGACCAGAUCGGGGAAAUGCCUUUGACUCAAAUACCAAGCUUCUAUUUUACCAUGCCUCCGAGCUGCACCUUUUGACAUCUGAUACUCCCAUGAAUCCAGCAACCUAUCAGUUGAUAGACUACCUUUGCCUUGUUUUGAAUUAUGAUCAUGUUUCUCUCAUGUGCUGGUCCUUGGCUUUUCCUCAUACAAUUGGAAAGACUGGCAGCAAGUUUUGAAAUUUUUUCUCGUUUGUUUUGACACAGACUUGACUUAAAAUGUAAAAAAAUGAUGGUGACUUUUAUUUUGAUAAAUGACAUAAAAAUACAAAGUAUGAAUACGUAAAUGAAAGAAAAGGGCAAUGUCUCUUAUUCAAAAAGAAAACUUAUCUGAAUACGACAACCAACUCCAAUGAGCACGACAUGCAUUUUGGAUUAAGCUGUCUGAUCUUCCUAUCCAAACUUUUCAUUUAUUGUUAAGUUCAUGCCUUUGCGGAUGAGCCACUUCUUAAAAUCCAUUGGACUCAUAUAUCUCAUUCAAUUUACGACAUCUUAAAAGACUUUUGCCAACAAAUCUCUUUUCUUUUCACUUUUCUCUCAAACUCACCAUCGCCUUACGGUGCCUAUAAGGGUUUUCACCAAUAAGACUCUCUCCUUUUUAUUUCUCUCAACUCCCCAUCGUCUUAUGGUGCCCGUGAGGGUUUUCACCAGUAAGACUCUCUCAUUUUUAUUUCUCUCGACUCACCAUCGCCUUAUGGUGCCCACAAGGAUUUUCACCAAUAAGACUCUCUUAUUUUUAUUUUUUUCUUGAUUUCUUAUGCUGAGGAAGACAAGUAGUACCCCACAAUGUAUCAUCACAUCCAUUGCAUGCUUAGACUUAACAUUAUCAAAGAUUGAUCUGAAGGACUUCUUUGGUUGUAACUUGUCUUUUGGAUAAGGUUAGAAAAGGAUGGCAAGAGGCUCAAACGACACUUGAAGUGGGGGUGGGACUUACAACUUUUGAAAUCGACUCAAACAACACAUUAACUCAUGCCUCAGUUUGGUUGACUGGGUGAUUCUAAAAAUAUUUAUUUGGUUGGACCGAGCCCUGAAUAGGGCAGCCUAUGUAUCUCACCCCUGAGAGAGGAGAAUCAGGUCGCACGUAGUUCCAACAUCUUGUUCUUUGUUUUGAUUUGAUGUUUUUUCUUUUUUUUUUUCUAUUUUCGAACUCUUUCUUUUAUUCUUAUUUUCCUGACAUUUAUCUUUGACUCUAUUUUGAUUCCAAAAGAGGGAUAUGAAAGAAAAAUAAAACUAAGCUCAAACGUGGUAAACAAAGGAUGAUACAACAUUUGGAUAGCAGAAUGAAAUGCCUUCAUCAUAUCAAUCUUCAAAAAUGCAAGUACAAAUCAUGCCAUAGAACCAAAAAGGAUUAAAAAUAUCGUACAUAGUAUCUUUUGACUGUAUCUGCAUUGAUAGUCAUUUCUGCCAUUUUACCUUCAAUAUCUGUCAAAUAUAAGGCUCCAUUGGGCAACACUUUCUUUACAAUAAAGGGACCUUGCCAAUUUGGGGAGAACUUGCCUUUCGCUUCAACCUGAUGAGGAAGGAUACACUUUAGUACCAACUGACCAACUUCAAAAAUUCUUGGGUCGUACCUUUUUGUUUUACGCUCGAGCCAUUCUCUUCUGAUACAAUUGGUCAUGACAUAUCGAUGUCAAUCUUUUUUUAUCAAUCAAACUCAAUUGUUCCAGUCAGUUUUUGACCCAUUCAUCGUAAUCAAUCUCUGCUUCAACAAUGACUAGAAAAUAGGGAAUUUCAGCUUCUACGGGAAUGACUGCUUCUGUUUCGUACACAAAUAAAUAUGGAGUUGCCCCUAUUGAAGUAUGAAAAGUAGUGCGAUAACUUAAGCAAACGACAACUUCUCAUGCUAUAGUCUAGACCUUUGCACCAUUUUCUGCAGUAUCUUCUUGAUAUUCUUAUUGGUGGAUUCCACAACACCAUUUGCUUUUGGACGAUAUGGAGUGGAUUUUCGAUGUACAAUCUUAAAUUAUUGGCACACUUCUUGCAUCAAAUGACUGUUGAGAUUGGCAGCAUUGUCUGUAACGAUCAUCUUUGGAAUUCCAAACCUACAAAUGAUGUUGGCAUGAAUGAAAUCUACCACCACCUUCUUUGUCAUUGACUUAAAAGUUAUUGCUUCUACCUACUUGGUGAAGUAAUCAAUGGCCACCAAAAUAAAUCUAUGCCCAUUUGACGCUUUCAGCUCAAUCGGUCCAAUCAUGUCCAUUCCCCAAGCUACGAAAGACCAUGGAGCAGACAUUGCAUGCAACUCAACAGGAGGAGAAUGUAUCAGAUCACUAUGUACUUGACAUUGAUGACAUUUUUGAACAAAUGGAAUAGAAUCCCUCUCCAUAUAAGCCAAUAAUAACCUGCUCUGAGAAUCUUCUUAGGCAAGACAUAACCGUUCAUAUGAGGCCCGCAUACUCCAGAAUGAACUUCAACCAUGAUUGCCGAAGCUUCUUUUGCAUCAACACACCUCAAAAGUCCUAGAUCCGAGGUUUUCUUGUAUAAGAUUCCCUUACUUAAGAAAAAUCCACUAGCUACAUGCCUAAUAGUCCUCUUUUGAUCAUUGGUGGCAUGUGUUAGGUAUUCUCCUAACUGAAUGUAUCGCCUGAUAUCAAAGAACCAAGGUUCUCCAUCGAGCUCUUCUUCAACCACAUUAUAGUAAGUAUGCUGAUCAUGACUCUGUAUAUGGACUAGAUCGUUGUAGGCUUUAUCCGGAUGUUGGAGCAUUGAAGACAGAGUGGCUAAAGCAUCAGCAAUCUCAUUAUGAAUCCUUGGAACAUGCCUAAAUUUUAUUGACACAAAUCGUUGACAUAGCUCCUACAAGCAUUGUCGAUACGGUAUGAGCUUCAAAUCUCGCGUCUCCCAAUCGCCUUGAAUUUGAUGGACGAGCAAAUCUAAAUCCCCCAACACUAAUAGUUCCUGGAAUCCCAUAUCAAUAGAUAGCCUCAAACCCAGAAUGCAAGCUUCAUAUUUUGCCAAGUUAUUGGUACAAUAAAAUUGAAGUUGCGCUGUUACCAGAAAAUAUUGCCCCGCCUCAGAGAUAAGAAUUGCACCUAUUCCGACUCCUUUCAUGUUGACCGCUCCAUCGAAGAACAACUUCCAACCUGGAUCAGCAUCUAUAAUGACUUCAUCGACACACAACACUUCUUCAUCCGGAAAAUAUGUCUUUAAUGGCUCGUACUCUUCAUCAAUGGGAUUUUCAGCUAGCUGAUCUCCCAAGGCUUGGGCUUUCAUGGCGGUUCGAGUCACAUAUACAAUGUCUAACUUGGUAAGCAAUAUUUGCCACUUUGCCAAACAACCGGUCGGCAUAGGUUUCUGAAAGAUAUAUUUCAAAGGAUCCAUGCGGGAGAUGAGAUAAGUAGUGUAGGAUGAAAAAUAAUGCUUCAACUUCUGUGCUACCCAAGUUAGGGCGCAACAUAUCCUUUCAAAAAGAGUGUACCUGGCCUCAUAUGCAGUGAACUUUAUGCUAAGAUAAUAAAUAGCCUGCUCCUUUUUUCCCGUGACAUCAUGUUGACCCAGGACACAACCGAAAGAAUUAUCCAUUCCCAAUAAAUAUAAGAUCAAAGGCUUACAGGAUCUGGUGGUACCAACACUGUCUUACGGAAAUUUUGACUUCUGAUAGUCGCCACUUAAUUUUGAAAAGGAAUUAAGAAACCUUUAGAGAGUCACUUCAAACGAUUCCAAAUAAAAAAAUCGUUUAAGUUAAGAGAUUCUGAGUAGGUGGUUCCUAUUAAUGUUUUAGGAAGGUGUUAGGCACCUAAAACGUCCGCUAACUUGCGGUUAUCCGAUUCGUUUGAAAACAUUCUUUUGAUUAACUUCGGAAAAUCAAUUUGUUGGAAAAAUAGUUGAUUAAGGAAAUUGUUUUUGCAAAAUCAGUCUUUUAGGUACUUAGUUAGGGAUUUAACUAGCUUUGCUAGAGAACACGUAAAACAAGUAAGCAAAAGGAAAAAGGAAAAGUGGAGUAGUGAUUUAGGCCAUUGGGCCCAAAUCAAUGAGACCUGUCCUAGUCUAAUUAGGCUUUCGACCCAUUUUCACCUGUCCUAAUCUAGUUUUCGAGCGUUUGGCUUGAAUCUCGCUUCACCUGUAUUAAAUACAACUUUGACUUCGAGGCCCCAAAUGAAUGAAAUAAAGAAAUAAACAAACAAAUCAAUAAAUAACUAAAGGUGACGAUGUAAAUAAAUAAAAAUAAUAGCUUUCAAGUCCUUCUUUGCCGCUUCAAACAAUGGGGUUUAGCCCAUACUUUCUUCUGUCGAGUCCUUGGAUUUGUGUUACGAGAUCAUCUUCGAGAUCUAAUCAGAAGGAAGGAGCCUCAAUGGCUCACAUCGAUAAUGCAAUUACGGAAAACAGUCCGUUUGGACUCAAAGACGGCUUCAUGCAAAGAAAAGAUAUAUGAAUUAAUACGUAUUCAUAAAAAUGUGAAUUAUUUUUAUAAUAAAGAAAAUUCAGGGAGUUCUAGGUUUUCAAUAAAAAUCACUACAUCAAUAAACAUAAAAAAAACUUAGCCACUAAAUUGGUGAUACCUACGACAUGCAACUGUGUCUAAUUGAUUUUUAAUUUUUAACAUAGAGAUCGAAAAGAGCACAUCAUGUUAUGUUAGACUUUGGCACGGAAGUAAACAUAUGCAUGGAAGGGCACUAGUAAAAAGAGUCACUUCUUAAUCUUAUGUAAAGUUCAAAGAGAGUACAUGGCUUUUAUUCACUACAGUAUGGAGAUGCUGCAACAUGUUGGAGAAUCUUGCAUUAAUAGUAAAUCGCGAAUGGUUCAAACAAGUAGCCUUAAGUUCCCACCAAUGAAAAAGAGUAUACAAAAACUAAGAAAGAAAUUUUUAUUUAUGGGCCAUCGAAGCACUCAACCAGAACAAAGCACUUUCCAAACAACUUCACUGUGCGAGCAAUCACCCCUCGCCUUAAGAUAAUUACUAAAGAAAGGCAUAAAUAAAUUUACGCUACAGAGGAGCCAAAAUAGAUUUGUUCUACCUCUCCUCUCUUAUAUUAUACCGAGUACAGAUGAUCAUUGAGGAAUCAUGGGAUUUGCUAAUUUUUAUUAAUCGUAACAUCGUUAUUCUUUUGUCAUUGGAGAAGCCGAAGAAUUCAAGAGGUAGUCCUACUAAUGACCCUACCAGCUCAACCACAUCAAACUAAUGGCAGUGAGCAAAACUACGUCAAGUAACUAAACAUAGACAAGACACCAUAAACCUAAAAACUAUUGAAGAAAAUCAAAGCACGAAAAUGAAAUCCGGUGUAACAAGAUACAAGUAGCCCGAAACUACUAAUCAAAAAUCAAAGUAUGAAACUUUAAAAAUUUAAAUCGGCCUUAGCAUGAUACUAAUAGUCUGAAACAAGAUCGAGACAAGAAACUUUACUAUAGGGAUAGCUAUGGUGAUGCGUCAUUAGCCUGAAAUCAUUUAACAGACUCAUCACUCGAGUCUUAACCAGCAUAUAGAGAGAGAAUAUUAGAUCGGAACUUAAUUCACAACAUUAUUUCGGCCACACAACAGGCUAGAAAGAACUAUUCAUAGAUAAAGUUAGUGGAUUUUAGGACAGUUUUGACGAAGAAGCAUGCCUUUAAAAGUACCAAGCAACAACAUAAAUCAUAUUUACUCAAAUAUCACCAUAGCGAUGUCUAUCAUGAACAAAACCUACGGCUACCAAAGCCAUCUAUCAACAAACAAAUCUAGCGUACAAUGUUACUAAAAAUUUACUCGAAGCUAUAGAAGGUCAAGAUGAAGAUAGAGCACUCGAGAACUCAAAGGGAUAGGAGGUUACCUUUCUAGGAGCAGCAAACGGGACUCGAGCUAUCAGCAAAAUUGUCCCCACUGGAAGCUAAUGUUGUCGCCUUGGGAAACUUUCCAUUGAUCGACUAGCUUUCCCAGACAUAGUGGAUGAGAAAUUCUUCGCGACAAUAAACUCCUUAAUUUCAGAGUGCCCAACCCAAAUUUUCAAAAACAGCUUUUUUAACCAGCCUAAAAUUUCUUUCUCGAUUUCUUUCGAAAACUUUGUCUCUAACCCAAGUUCUUCCUCCUAAAAGAAGACCCUAGAAUUUCCUCCACUAGAAUUUCGGACCCUUCCAAGAAGAUAAAAUAAAAGACCCCCUCAACAGUGACCCCAGGAACCCUUUUAUAGGAGUAGAAUUAGGGUUUCCCUAGGGAUUUCAAAAAGAGGGAGAAACUCCAAAUUUCCACCCGGAUCUCGCUACCCUCCAACAGUCCGUACUCCUCUUGUACUAAAUUCUUUCGAUUUUUCCCCAAAAUGGCAACUGGUGGACCAAUAAAAUGUGGGAUACCGAAUCCUCUUUUCCAACCAAUGAAAGACGCCCAAGUACGUACCUAAUCUGUACUAAAAUCCUGAAAUCACUAAAUAUAGCUGUUAUACAAGCCAACUCACGCUUUUUCUAGCAGAUUAUCGGAUCUCCCAGGGUACAACAUCUCGUAGGACGCGUAGAGAGGAUUAAGACGAGAUAGUUGUGGGUCGAUUUGGGUAUGGUUGAGAAGGGUUCAGAUUCUGGAUUGAGUAGUUGCUGUCGUUAAUGUUGACCAUCGAGUGUUUUAGUGAAGAAGGGGGAAUAAAAGGGAAUUGUUGAUGUAGGCCGGGUCAGGGGUUUUGGUUGGGCUGAUAUUGGAUUAGUUUUGGCCUGAUGUUAUUAAGUGAGUUGGGUCAAUAUUGGAGGGGGGGUAUGGUUUAUUGGGCUGUUGGAGGCGGGUAAAAAGGAGCGGGGAAGUGAAGUUGGGCUUGGAUUUAAUUGGAAAAUUGUUGGGUUGUAUGAAGUUUUGGGCUAACGGCCCAACUAAAAAGGAGAAAAGGCUGAAAUUGAGUUUAAAUUAAUUGGCUCAAGGUUGGGGUUAUUUAAUAACCUAAUUAAAUUUGAUUGGAUCAAAAUGAUCCUAAUUAGGAAAUAGUAAUUUUUGGAGAUUAAGAUUGGAUUACAAUUCAGACGACUUAUUUAAAUUAUAACCAAAUUGAAUAUCUGUUGAUCAAUUGCAUUACGAUUGGGGCCAAUUUGAUUUCAACUGAGGUCAUAUUUAAUUAGUUCGCUAAAUUGAAUCACAAUCUAGCACGAAUCAAGUAACAAAUUAAUCUCGAGUUUCUUAAUUUGAUAAAAAUCCAACAAAUAUUUCUCCAAAAUAAAAAUAUUUUAAGAGCAAAUCAUAUUUAAAACCAAGUUUUAUCCAUUUGAAUUACUUUUGAAGUUUAAUCAAUAAAAAUCUAAUUUUAAUUUAAAAGAUCACUUAAAUAAAAAAUUUAUACACCCUCAUAUGCGAAAAAUGUAUAAUCGUUAAUUAAAUGAUAAAAUUGAAUUGAAUAAGUAAUUUAAACUAGCAUUUAUUUGAACAAAAUAAUUGUUGUGAUUUUAUUUUAAAAUUAAAGAAACUUGAAAUUAAAUUGGAUUGCGGAGGGCAAAAAUUAGGUGUCAACAACUGUCCUCUCCCUUGGGUAGGGUGGAUGCAAGUAACCCUAGGUAAAGGGAGGUUGACAUUCUUAAUUUUUGUCCAACUACAAAUUCAAAUCUGGAAGAGGUUGGCUUUCGCACGAGUUUCAUAGAGUUAUGGACGAACCUCGGUAUCAGGUUUCCUACAUAUCUUAGUUUUCAUGAGAAUUCAGGCCCCUUGUAGUUCAUAAAUCUUGAUUUUAAGCAUGAUUUUCACGAAAAUUCACUGUUUAUCACAGUUUUAGAGUUUUUGAUAAACCGAGAAGUUGGGGAAUAAAGGGAUUUGGGGGGAGGUUGGAAUGCAUUCGAGUUUUCUACAUAGAUCCCAGCUUACAUAUUCCUAGGACUCGGGGAAUCAGACUGCUUGUAAUUCAACUCAAUCGGUAGAAAAGAUAGUCUUUUAUUUCAGACGAUCUUUGGCUCAAGAUGAGUGACAAGUUGAUCGAGUUGCGGAAAAGAGGCUUAAAAACUUUUAACCAUGAACGUGGAGCUCUUCACAUCCAUAGGUAAGAAUUUACCUGGGCGUAAUUUCCAAAACUCUAGGAGUCCUAUCACUCGAAUUUAGAAGAAAGAGAAGGUUACCCCCGGCAUGAGUUAAAAAAUAUACCAGAGUUGAAGCUGAGACUUAGAACAUCCCAAAAUACCCACAUGCCUUAUAAUAAAGGUGUGGUUAGAUGGUGGUGGUGAUCAUCAUUUAGCUCGCGUCCAGAGAGUUUGACGUCCCUCUCUAGACUAUGUCCCGUUUUGCUGCUAAGAAAGAGUUCCACAUUAUGCUGCGUCCUUUUUAUAGUCGUCCGCACCUGUGGUUUUGAUUUGAUAUUUUCAUCCUCUCAGAUUCUCUCGACAAUAUCUCAAACAGAAAUCAUCAGUAAUAAGCACAAUUCAUGAAAGAGGUGUGUGGUAUUUUACCAUAUCUCUACGUGAGUUGUUGUCUAAAAAGUGAAGUCAUCUCUUCUUGUACCUGUUUGGAAGAAAUAACUUGCAGUAACAGACACUACAACCUUCUUGAUUGUUGCAUAAUUAGAUCAUUUGUCGAGCGAACAUGUCUUCAAAGCGGGUGGCCCUUUUGGACACCGGCGAUACUUUAUGCAGAACGGUCCCUACAACCGUGUAAUCUUAUGCUGGUGUGGCAACCCUUUUGGUUACCUAUAUCACUUGUUGUACGUGGAAGAAUAACCUCUCUAGUUAUAGCCGAUGAUCGAUUUAUAAAUUUUCCUUAAAUUGUCAAUUUUUGGAUAAUCUUGCGCAUUAUUUGACGUUGGAUACGAGGCGACUUAUAGAUAUCCUUUGAAUUGCUAGCUUUUAGGUAAUCCUACAUAUUAUCCGACUUUGGAUAAGAUAUGACUUACAAAUAUCCCUCCAAUUUCUAGCUUUCAGGUGUUCCUGCACAUCAUCCGAUCUUGGAUACAAUAUAACUUAUAGAUAAUCUCUCAAAUUGUUAGUCUUUGGAUAAUCCUGCACAUAAUCGAUCUUGGAUAUGACGCGGCUUAUAGAGAACCCUUGAACGUAUCAAUUUGAUAAUCUUGCAUAUUCUCCGAUAAGGAUUUAGUUGCGAUUUACGGAUAGCCUUUGAACUAUCAAUUUUUGGGUGAUCUUGCACACUAUCCGAUUAGGAUGUUGUUGUGGCCUACGGAUGACCUACAGGCUAUCAACUCAUAGGUGAUUUGGCGCACUAUCCUAUUUCAAAUAAUAUGACUUAUAGAUGACCCUCAAAUUGUCAAUUUCUAGGAAACCUUAUAUAUCAUUCAUCCUUAGAUAGUGACUUAAAGGCUUCCCUUCAAAUCGUGUGCUCUUGAUGCAUUCAGAUGUUGAUUCAUGAAAAGAUGAUGAUAUCCUCGACACCAGCGUUGUGUCUAGCGCAUCAAAAGAUAUUGAAUAACGAUGAUAUCCUCGACGCCAACGUUGUGUCUAGUGCGUCAACAGAUAUUGAAUAUCUUCUGGGGCGAUGGUAUGAGAUGGCCUUUGCGGUAAUGAUAUGAAAUGACCCUUACGAUAAUGAUAUGCGAUUGUCCUGGCGGCAAUAAUAUGUAAUGGCCUUUGCGACAAUGAUAUGUAAUGGCCCUUGUGGCAAUGAUAUGUAAUAGCCUUUGCGGCAAUGAUAUGCAAUGACCUUUGCGGCAAUGAUAUGCAAUGGCCCUUGCGGUAAUGAUAUGCGAUUACCCUGGCGGCAAUGAUAUGUAAUGGCCUUUGCGGCAAUGAUAUGUAAUGGCCUUUACGGCAAUGAUAUGCAACGGUCCUUGCGGCAAUGAUAUAUAAUGAUCUUUGUGGCAAUGAUAUGUAAUGGCCGCAUGAUAUGCAAUGGCCUUUGCGGCAAUGAUAUGUAAUGGCCAUUGUGGCAAUGAUAUAUAACGGCCUUUGCGGCAAUGAUAUGCAAUGGCCCUUGCGGCAAUGAUAAAAUAAUUUUACCCGGCUUCAUUCGUCAGUGUCCUACUUUCUACAUGUACCUGUACUCACGGUAGACGAUGAGUAGACACAAAGUCACUUUUACUAUCGACUAUUUUUAGGAAAUUUCUAAAUACAAUAUUUGUAAAGAAGACAAAGAGCUUUUGCUUGUCGCCUACGAUCUCAAGAAAUGAAAUAGACAAAUCAAAAGGUCCUCAAUAAAUGGGCAUUAAACCUAUUUUUAGGGCUACCCUAAAAUACUGUUCUUGGGUAUUAAUGCUCUAUUGUGGCUCCCACUUUGCUCGGAAAUUUUUAAAAGAGACCCUCAUUUUGUAUAUUGAACCCUGCAUCCACAGAAAAAUGAUUAGUUUAAAUGAAAUUACUUUGUGUUGAUCUUCUUCGAUCCUUGAUUUGCUCCUUGCCAUCUCUUGGGCAUCCACCAUAUCGGGACUUCCACCCUGACACUCCAUCCCAAAUGAUGUCUAGGCAAGUACUAAAUAAGUGAGUCGUAAGAUUUUUGAAAAUAGUCUUAAAUUUUUUGAAAAUAAUUUCAAAAACUUCUGUAAAACUUUAGAAAAUAUCUGCCAGUCAUGUUAUGUACUAGAUCAACGAACGUCUUCCUUGUGGUUUUGACUAUAUCCGACGGAUGGUUUCCAAAACUCAUGAUCAUUGUUGGGGGGUUUUUUCAAGUAGUUCUAUCAUAGCCAAAAAUUGAGUCUACCCAUACUUUGUUACAGUUGGUGGCUUACAAAGCUUGACUUUAACCUCUGGUGCUAGGGAAUUUGGAAUAUGUUCCGGCAUUUGGUGGAAAUUUUGAGGUCUACCUCAAAAUUUCUGCCCCAGUUUAAAGUUGUUUGAGAUGAUACCCAUCCGACUGGAUCUGAAGUCUUUGUUAAUCUUCAUUCUCUUUGUUGGAUGUCGAUCUUCUCUUGUGAAUUUUCAAGAUUCCUUCUCGAAAAUUCUGCCCCAGUUUCCAUUUCCUGGGGUUACAUGACCGAGCCGUUGGGGCGCCUACAUAUCUCGUUGAAGCAGAAAUCAGGUCAAACAUAGUUCAGAACUACGCUAGGGAUAUAUAUAGAAAAAAAUCUAAUGGGUUGACCGAAGCCGACAUAGCCCGCCUACGUAUCCCUUAGGAAUUCAAGUCAAAUGUAGUUCGUACAUAAAGAGAAAGGAUAAAAUUUACUAAGGGGUUGACCGAACCCGACAUAGGCUGCCUAUGUAUCUCUUUCUUGGGAAUUCACGUCAAACAUAGUUUGUACAUAGAGGGAAAGGAUUCUAGGCAGUUAUAUACUAGAAAAAAUAUUACUACGAAUGCGAUUACAAGUAAAUUAACUAAAGAAACAUGAAAACUAGAACGUCCUUCAAACAUAAUAUCUCUUUACCGCAUCAGAAUUGAUUAAUUUGGUCCACUCUGUGCCAUCCAUCUCAGAUAAAAUCAGAGCUCCUCCAGAUAGUACCUUGCGAACUAUGUAUGGCCCUUGCCAGUUUGGAGCGAACUUGUCCUUGUACUCCUCUUGGUGAGGGAAUAUUCAUUUCAGAACCAGUUUCCCCACUUCAAAUGUUUAAACUCUCACCUUCUUGUUAAAGGCGCGAAUCAUCCUGUGUUGAUACAGCUGACAAUGGCAUACAGUGACCAUUCUCUUUUCAUCAAUCAACAUGAGUUGUUCAUAGCGAGAAUGAAUCCAUUCUUCGUUAAUUAGUCUGGCUUCUUGGAUAAUCCUUAGGGAAGGUAUUUCAACUUCAGCAGGUAUCACCGCUUUAUUGCCAUAAACCAAUAGAUAUGGGGUUGCCUCGGUGGAGGUUCAAACUAUCGUGCGAUACCCUAGCAAGGUGUAAGGUAAUAUCUCGUGCCAUGAUCUAUCAUUUUCAACCAUCUUUCUCAGGAUCUUCUUAAUAUUCUUGUUGGCAGCUUCCAUGGCUUCAUUCAUUUAAGGACGGUAUGCAGUCGAGUUGCGAUGCAUGAUUUUGAACUGAUCAUAAAUUUCAUUCAUCAAGUGACUAUUCAAGUUAGCCCCAUUAUCCGUAAUGAUUGAUUCUGGCACCCCAAAUCAGCAAAUCAGGUUAUUCUUGAUGAAAUCUGCAACCAUUUUCUUAGUGACGGCUUUGUAUGAAGUAGCUUUAACCCAUUUAGUAAAGUAAUUGAUGGCAACCAAAAUAAACCUAUGCCCAUUCGAUGCUGAUGGUUCUAUUGUCCCGAUAACAUCCAUACCCCAAGCUAAGAAAGGCCAAGGGGAACUUAUCGCAUAAAGCUCAUGUGGAGGCAUGUGAAUCAGAUCUCUAUGUAUCUGACAUUUUGGACAUUUCUGUACAUACUUACUACAAUCAUUUUCCAUAGCCAUCCAGAAGUAACCAGUUCUCAGGAUCUUUCUGGCAAGGGCAAGCCCGUUCAUGUGGGGCUCACAAACUCCAGCAUGUACCUCUUUUAUCAAUUUAUUGGCUUCCGCAGCAUCGACGCAUUUAGGAAUCCCAAAUCAGGAGUCCUCCUAAAAAGAAAUUCCCCACUUGGAAAGUAGUUCUUUGCCAAACACCGAAUUGUCUUCUUUUGGUUGUUAAUGGCCUCUUCAGGAUAUACUCCAAAUUCCAAAUACCUCUUAAUGACAUAGUACCAAUGCUUUCCAUCAGGCUCCUCUUCCACAUACGCACAAUGUGCGGGUUGCUCCUUCAAGCUUAUUUCCAAAGGAUCAAUGUAACUCUGGUUGCUGAAUCAUGGAAGAUAUGGUGGACAAAGUGUCAGAAAACUCAUUUUAUAUCCGUGGGAUAUGUCUAAAAUCAACUUCUUUGAAUCUUUCGCAUAAUUCUUGCACUAGCUCCAUAUAAGGAGUAAUCUUGGGAUUUUUUACUGCCCAUCCUCCCCGUACCUGGUGAAUCAGCAAAUCUGAAUCUCCGAUGACUAAUAAUUCACGAACACCUAUAUCAAGUGCCAAUUUAAGACCCAGGAUGCAAGCCUCAUAUUCAGCCAUGUUGGUGCACGGGAAACGUAACUUAGCAGUUAUCGAAUAAUGCUGGCCCAUUUCUGACACCAAAAUUACUCUGAUUCCUGAACCUUUAAAGUUGAUGCCCCAUAAAAAAAUAGCCUCUAUCUGGGGUAAAUCUCCGUAAUGUCUUCUCCUACGAACAAGACUUCCUCAUCUAGAAAGUAAGUUCGAAGUGGCUCAUAUUCCUCAUCAACCGGAUUCUCUACCAAAUGAUCUGCUAAGGCUUGCCCCUUGAUUGCUUUUUGGGUUACAUACACAAUGUCAAACUCACUCAGCAAUAUUUGCCACUUGGCUAGAUUUCCUGUAGGCAUGGCCUUCUGAAAUAUAUACUUUAAUGGAUCCAUUCUCGAGAUGAGGUAUGUUGUGUAGGACAAUAGAUAAUGCCUCAACUUUUGUGCUACCUAAGUCAAAGCACAACAUGUUCUUUCUACAAGAGUGUAAUGGGAUUCAUAUGGUGUGAACUUUUUACUCAAGUAGUAAAUAGAUUUCUCUUUCCUACUGGUCUCAUCAUGUUGCCCGAGGACACAUCCAAAAGCAUUUUUUGAGACUAACAGGUAAAGCAACAAUGGUAUUCCUUCUCUUGGCGGCACUAAUAUCGGCGGUGCAGACAGGUAUUCCUUGAUACGGCUAAAAGCUCUCUGAUAUUCUUCUAUCUACUCAUUCAAUGGAUUCUUCUUCAACAUCUUGAGAAUUGGCUCGCAUAUGACUGUCGAUUGAGCGAUGAAUCUGCCAAUAUAAUUCAAACGACCCAUGAAACUCAUAACUUCCUUCUUGGUCCUUGGCGGUGGCAAGUCCUGAAUUGUCUUGCCUUUGGAUGGAUCUAGCUCGAUGCCUCUUCUGCUGACUAUGAACCCCAAAAACUUCCUUGAUGGAACACCAAAAGCACACUUAGCAGGAUUUAACUUCAAACUGUACUUUUUUAAUCUGUUGAAGAAUUUGUCCAGAUGAGUCAGAUGAUCCGAACUCUCAUGAGAUUUGACAAUUACAUCAUCCACGUACACCUCAAUCUCUUUAUGUAUCAUAUCAUGGAAAAUAGUCUUCAUAGCCCUCAUAUAUGUUGCACCCGCGUUCUUGAGACCAAACGGCAUCACCCUGUAAUGAUAAACACCCCAGGGCGUAAUCAAGGCCAUUUUUUCUGCAUCUUCCUCAUCCAUCAAUAUCUAAUGAUACCCACCAAAACAAUCAACGAAUGACUGCAUUUCAUACUUUGCACAGUUAUUGAUGAGUAUGUGGAUGUUGGGCAACGAAAAAUUAUCUUUAGGACUGGCUCUAUUCAAGUUUCUAUAGUCAACACAAAUUUGAAUCUUGCCGUCUUUCUUCGGCACAGGGACGAUGUUGGCCAACCACGUCGCAUAUUUUGUGACCUCCACAACCUUAGAUUGGAUUUGUUUUAUCACUUCUUCCUUGAUCUUUAGACUUAAAUCUGGCUUGAAUUUCCGUAUUGUUUACUUGACUGGAUUAAACUCGGAAUUGAUUGGCAACUUAUGCGACACAAUACUAGUGCUCAAUCCCGGCAUAUCAUCAUAGGACUAAGCAAACACGUCAAUAUAUUCCCGUAACAGGUGAAUAAGCUCUCUUUUUUGUGCUUCCACCAGGUGGACACUGACACUUGUUUCCUUGAUUUCAUCGUGAUCUCCCAGGUUGACUGUUUCAGUUUCCUCAAGGUUGGGUUUUCCCUGAUUCACAAACUCCUCCAUAUCUUUAACUAAUUGUUCCUUAUCGACGUCCUUCCAAUCAUCAUCGUUCCCUUCAUUUUGUUUGUUUACACUUUGACAUAACAUGACAUUGGCAGAUUUUAAGUUGUUGUUACUAUAAGGGACAAACAAACCAAGUUAGAUGAUAACAAAAUAACAAAACAUAUGAUUAGGAGUGUUUUAGAAAUAAUAGAAUUUUCUAAAUAAAUGAAGGCCUUUUCUAAAACCAUGGCUUGUGACUUAUGUAACUAUAAGUCCAUGCCUUUUUAAAAGCAGUAAAAUACGAAAAGAAAGUUUUGAGAUAUAAAAGGUGGAUCACGGGGCCUCCUCCAUAUCAUCACCAAUUUUAAAAACUAUUAGUAAUUUUCCUUUCAUCUACCACGACGGGUGACGGGUUAUGAGUGGAGUGGAUUUGUAAGGCCUCCCCUGGUGCAAUCUGCUUCACUUCGCUGGAAUUUGGGAAAUCUUCUGGUACAACAUUGCAUCCCUCGAACAAAUAUCCUAUCCCAUCCCCAAGACUAUCAUCACCUGACACCUCUCAUACAGGAAAUGACUUGAACAGGAGUGGCAAGGGCCUAAACAGACUCUUCUCUGACUCAUCCUCAACCCUAUCCUUCUUGGUAGGCUAAUAUCCUAACCAUACUUAGAGCCAUUCUCUGGGAUCACAAUAAGCUCGAUAAUUCCUUGUAGAUCCUUACUAAACCUCGACCAGGUUCGAACCUAUUUCUUAACAUCACCGUCGCAAUCAUUUUGUAGACAGAAGGCAUUGGCACUUUGGAUAUUGAAUCUUUGUCCACAAUAUUUACAAUUUCCACUGUAUAGAAACUGCUACCUUUUGGAACAUCUUCAAUCACCGGCACAUAACCAUUGGGGCGAUCCGCUCGACUUUUCUCUCCUUGGAUGACUACUUCAUGAUCCUCCCAAAUGAACUUCAAUAAUUGAUGAAGGGGUGACGAAAUUGCCUUUGCAUCAUGUAUCCAUGGUCUUAACAAGAGAAAGUUGUAGCUAGGAUGGAUAUACAUAACAUGAAACUUAGUUUUAAACUCAGCAGGUCCCAUUUGGAUGUACAAAUCAAUUUCUUCUAUGGUAUCUCUCUGCCCUCCAUCGAAUGCUCAUAUUUACGUGGCUUUUAUGAAUUUUUCCCAGAUCAUAGCCCAUUUAAACCAACGUAGAGGGGGGAAAAUAUUCACACCAGAUCUGUCGUCUAUUAAUACCUGAUUAAUCGCAUAAUCUCAAAAAAUGAUAGUGACUGUAGGGCUUUGUUGUGCAUUGCUCCUUCAAAUGGAAGCUCUUCAUCACUAAAUGAUAUGCGAUGAUUCCCCACAAUGUUUCCUAUUAUCGCAGCCAGAUUCUUAACACUCGUCCUUGCGGGAACAUAUAAUUCAUCCAAGACCUUCGAUAAAGCUUGUCGGUGGUAUUACGAACUCAUUAAUAUUGCCAAGAUAGAGAUUUGAGCUGGUGUAUUCUCUAAAUGUUUGAUAAUUGAAUAAUCUUUGGGUUGCAUACACCUCUAAAAUUCUUCAGCCUCUCCUUCAGUGAUUGGCCUUUUCUGUGAAUCCCUUUUGUUGGUCAAUUCCUCAGGGAUGUAGCAUCGUCCCGAUCGCGUCAUCCCUUGGGCAGCAGCGGUCAACACAAUAAAUUCUUUACUUGGUGGGGGAGCGUACACUUGAGUCAGUGCAGUCAUCACUAUAAAUGGGACUUUCUCAUUGAUACUCAAGGCAUCUACAACCUUCUCUAUCUUUCCUAUCUCUUCUACUCUUUUGCACUUUUCGUAGUUCACCUGGGUAAUGGUCUUGCCAGAUGCCCAUUCACCCUCUAUUUCAAUCAUGUUAAAUGUAGAUCCCUCAUGGUUAGGCAAUGAAUUACUGUUAAUAUUUGGUGUAGGUGCCUGGAGUGUGAUGACCUUUUGAUCGAUUAAAUCCUAGAUCCUAUAUUUCAGGUAGCCACAAUCCUCUGUACUGUGCUCCGCUGCUCCUGAAUGAUAGGCAUAAUGUUGACUUGCAUUAAAAAAUUGAGAGUUGGGAUUGACAUGCCUUGGUUGUAUUGGUUGCAAAUGACUAAUAUUUUUCAAUCUUUCAAACAAUUGGGUGCGACUUUUAGCUAGUGGGGUGAAGUUUCGAGGAGGUUUCUUUUUGUGGUUUGGACGUUGGGGGUUGUACUGGCUUUGAUUUGUAGGAGGAGGUACUUGGUGAUAAUUUGGAGGUGCUUGGAAAUUUGUUUGAUUAUUUGGAGGAGUGGAUUGGAAAUGAGACUGAUAAUUUGGAUGUGGAACUAGGUAUUGGGGAAAGAUAUUUGGCUGUGGAGCUUGGUAUGAGGAUUGGAGGUUUGGGAGUGGAUUUUGGUACUGAGGUUGGGCAUUUGAGAGUGGAGCUAGGUAUUGGGAGUGGGCGUAGAACACGUGCUGAAGGUUGGGUGACGGUGAAAAAGAUAAAACAUUUCUAGAGUUGAACCUCUUUUUUCGUUUUAGCAACAGGAUUAGCAGAAAUCAUACCUACAUCUUCCUUUUUCUUCUUCGAGAACAUGACAGUCCCAGACGACGUCGGGGUUUUGGUAAUUUUCCCUGUCCAAAUACCUUCUUCCAAUAAUUCUUUUAUUUUUACCAAAUCUGCAAAAGUUGCCCUAACAACGGACACCAUCCUGGUAUAAUAUUCUCCUUCUUGAGCACGAGAGAACACGGAUACCAUUUCCUCAUCGAACAUGGGGGGUUGCACUUUGGUGGCUUCUUUCCUUCAACGAAAAAAUUAGUCUUGAAAACUCUUAACAUUUCUCUGUUUGAUCCGACCUAGUGAAUAUCGAUCAGGUACUAUUUAAAUGUUGAAUACAAACUGGUCAAGGAAACCCUUGCCCAAUGUUUUUUAACCAAUCCAUCUUUUCGGCUCCUGAGACAUGAACCAUUCUAAGGCUUCACCACUUAAACUUCGACUGAAUAGGCGCAUCACCAAUGCCUUAUUUUUCCCUAUCCCUACCAGUUGCUCACAGUACCUUCUCAGUUGGGCCAUUGGAUUUUUGGUAUCGUCAAAUAUCUCAAACUUAGGGACUUUGUACCCAUCUGGUAGGUCUACUCCUAGGUGAACACAAAAUCAUCAUACCCCAAACCGUCGUGGUCCCUGGCUCUAUGAGACUCGUUUAUCCUCAUGAUCUCCUCCUUCAUAGCUAGUAAAUUCCUUUUAUGCUGGGUCCUUCACUCUUUCUCCUUCUCCUGGUCCAUCUCGGGGUUAGAAAGGGGUUCAUAAAUAUCAGGGGAUAUGAUGGCUUAAGGGGGGUUUGGAAAGGAGGCUUGAUUUUGUAGAAGAAAGGAACUUGGUUGGUAAGUGGGGAGGAUAUUUUGGAAUUUGGAAAGGUUCUGUGGACUUUGUGAGUAGUUUGGUGGAAUAUGAGAAGGAUUUUGCGGAUUUGGAAGUGAAUUUGGUGGAUUCAAAGGUAGGUUUGACGUAUUUUGUGGGUUUGAGAGUGAAUCUUGCAGAUUUGGGAAUGUAUUUUAUUGAAUUGAAAAUGUGCUUUUGAGGAUUUGGGAAUAGAUUCGGAGAUGGGUUCUGUGGGGUUACAGAUGGAUUUUGUGGAUGGUAGGUGUCUAGUUUAUUUUCACGAUUAGUAUUUUUGAAAAAUGGAGGAGCAGAGAUGGAUGAUACAUUAUUUGGCUAAUCCCCGAGAGUAGGUGUGCUGAGGGGAGAGAUAUGGAGUGGAGUCCUGUGUCCUCCUAGAGCGGGGGCAUUGACGGUGAUGGCUAAGUUAUCCAAAUCACGAGUGCGAUUUAUUUCCUCCUGAAGCAUUUCUAACUUUCUUGCAUGUUCCGCAAUUAUUUCAUUCUAUUCCGCUACCAUAUUGUCUGGAUAGUCAGUGCGCUUUCUUCGUCAUUUCCUGUCAUUUUUGAAUGAUGGUCAGAGGAUGGGAUUUUUUUCGCUUUCGAUCAGGUAAAGUACGGAUGUUCUGCCACCUUAUAUAAACACGGAGUAAUUUCUAUUAUCUAUAAAGUAAAAUAACGCAAAGGCAGAUGUGUUAGUUUCCGUAUAUGAUAAGUAAUGCAAAAUAUUUGACAAAAAAAAACCACAUAGAGUUGCUUGAGUCAUAGCCAAAUUCAUCCAUAGGACAUAGUGGAUAAACUUGCCUUUGAUCCAAACAAACGCACAUAAGCACAUAAAACAGUUAUAUCACACAAAACCAUUAUAAUAACGCGUAUCCUAGCUAGGGUGACCCUUUUUGAGCCAAGGGUUCAGUCCUAACGAUUUUUGAAGAAAAUAUAUGCUUCCUCGAAGUCAAUCCAUUAACCCCCAACUUAUAUAGACACGAAAAAGGGCAUAAUGCCUACAAAAUAUAAAGAAAAAGGGAUACAAUCUUUAGGGAAAUAACAUGAAAGAAGAUAAGUUCCCGCACAGGGGAAAUAGAAAAACUAGCUACUGGAGGCUCCUUUGUCUGCCUUUGCCCUCUUUGCCUUGUUUACCUCCUGUGCUAUUUGAUACCUAUUGAUGAUAAGGUGACUCUCGCAUAAUUGUGUCUUGCAGUCGUAAGUCAUUUUCCCUAUACUAUCGAGUUGGGAGGCCAUGCUAUCAUCCAAAUCGAUUAGACAUUGCAUGACAUCAUAAGCUUCUUGCCUAGCUCUUUUCACCUUUUCCUUAACAUACGUAUUGUUAAAGCGUCCUCCAUGUGUACUUGCCGGUGCACGAUUUCACUUUUCUAGAACUCAUCUUGUAGCCUGUGGAGCCGAAUUUGAUGCUUGGAUUCUACAUCCACAACCCGAGUGGGCAUAUUUGGUCCCAGAAUCAAUGCUCCAGCGAGACUCUUUUUCAACCACUCCUUGUAAGUAUCGCUGACUUCAGGGUCAUGCUCUAUACGAAAGGUCACUUCCAUCCACCUUUUUCUUCUCUAUCCAUUUAUCAUGCUGUCUUUGAGCGGAGACUCACUUUCAUCUUAUUCGGUGAAAAACCUAAGCAUGGAAUCUAUUUGUGGUACCUCCUGCUUGAUCUCGAAUUGCCUAAGAACUCUGCCAGGAUUGUAGGGACGGGUCCCUCUGAAACCGGGAAGAACUAGGAAAGGCCACUUGCCCCCUUGAAUGGUGUAUUUCCCUGAAUGAAGAGAGUUAAUAGACCAUUGCACAUCGGCAUCUCUUAAUUCCCCAAAAGUCUUAAACCAAAAUUCAUGAGAUGCUUUCCUUUUUGAACUUGUGUAGAAGCAAUCACAUGUCGUGUGAAGCCAUCAUAUCCACCCUUGUUUUAUAAUCUGGUUGUAUCGUUCUUGAAUUCUUUACCAAAUGCUUCAUCAUCCACCAUUGUAAUAUGAGGUUGCAACCUUGAAAGAAAUGAUUUUCGACUUGACACCUUCCCAAGGCUCGAUAUAUGUCAGCGACAAUCAUGGGAGAUAAAUUGUGGAAUACCUUGUUAGAAUCGUAAUCCACUUAUGAAAGGCUCUCAUCUCCUUCUAUUUUGCCUCGGACUCAAAUUUACGUCCAAAUUUAUGAAAGGCAUUAAAUCUUUCAAACCGAUGAUACAACUUCUUAAAAGUGAUAUUUUCUCCAUCACGUUCCCCUAUCCAGGUGUCGUCGUGGUUAAAAAUGCCUCUUUGAUUGUUUGAUGGUCCCACACGGUAGGAACUAAAAUGUUCUUAUCAGGUUUUUCCUUUCUCUUGAAACAUAUUUCAAUACUCUCAUAGAAAAUUAACACUUCUUUGAUGGUAGGAGUUAAUUCCACAUCCCCGAAGCGAAACACCAUAUUCUAAUCAUCCCAAAAAGUGGUAAGCACGUGGAUCAUUUCGGGCCAAGCAUCCAUUUCGAUCAAUGAAGGCAGGUAUCCGAUGUGUGUUCUAAUAAUUUUUCUCUCUUCUGCACUCAUAUAGUCCCACCAUAGUUUCAGGUAAUCAUCGGGUUUUGUAACCAUCUUGAACUUCUCGUGGGAAUGCAAUUGAGCCAUACCUACACGAAAGCAAACAAAGAUAAGCCUUCCCCCAUCCCCCAAAGGGUAAUGGAUUGAAUAAGAUAAGCAUAUAUUUCUUCAACACAUAAAUAUAAUUCGUCUGUAAUUGACUCGGGGUCAAUAGACGUAGGGCAGAUUUUCUAAUGGGCCCAAUACCCCGCUCGGGUAUUAGGUCAUCCUAGGAUCAUGCCUGAAAUAGGGUUUUGGUUUUGCUCUAUCCUAGUUAUCUAGAGUGGGUUUAAACACUGGUUCUCAAGCAGACAACUUGAUUUUGAAAAUACAAACAGCCAUCAGACGACUCCGUGCUAAUAAACUAUUUGUAUAUCCAACACAUUUUUGGAAUUGAUCAAUAAGGGCCGAGAUACCUACGAAACCCCAAAACAGUUUAAAUAAUGUAGGAAUAUGCCAGGAGAUGCGAUAAUUAAACUCUACAUAAUGAAAACACAUAAACAGUUAAUCAAAAGACGAAAUUAAACAUUUGGUUAGAACCUAGUUAGAGAUCUCCAGCAGAGUCACCAUUUCUGUUUUGCGGAAAUUUUGACUUUUGAGAGUCGUCACUUAAUUUUGAAAAGGAAUUAAGAAACCUUUAGAGAGUCACUUCAAAUAAUUCAAAAUAGGAAAAUCAUUUAAGUUAAGAGAUUCUGAGUAAGUGGUUCCUAUUAACGUUUUAGAAAGGUGUUAGCCACCUAAAACGUCUGCUAACUUGCGGUUAUCCGAUCUGUUUGAAAAUAUUCUUUUGAUUAACUUUGGAAAAUCAAUUUGUUGGAAAAAUAGUUGAUUAAGGAAAGAGUUUUUGCAAAAUCAGUGUUUUAGUGACUUAGUUACGGAUUUUACUAGCUUCGCAAGAAAACACGUAAAACAAGUAAGCAAAAGGAAAAAGGGAAAGUGGAGAAGUAGUGAUUUAGGCCAUUGGGCCCAAAUCAAUGAGACCUGUCCUAGUCUAAUUGGGCUUUCGACCCAUUUUCACCUAUCCUAACCUAGUUUUCGAGCAUUUGGCUUGAAUCUCGCUUCACCUGUAUUAAAUACAACUUUGACUUCGAGGCCCCAAAUGAAUGAAAUAAGGAAAUAAACAAACAAAUCAAUAAAUAACUAAAGGCGACAAUGUAAAUAAAUAAAAAUGAUAGCUUUCAACUCCUCCUUGCCGCUUCAAACAAUAGGGUUUAGCCCAUACUUUCUUCUGUCGAGUCCUUGCAUUUGUGUUACGAGAUCAUCUUCGAGAUCUAAUCAGAAGGAAGGAGCCUCAAUGGCUCACAUCGAUAAUGCAAUUACGGAAAACAGUCCGUUUGGACUCAAAGACGGCUUCAUGCAAAGAAAAGAUAUAUGAAUUAAUACGUAUUCAUAAAAAUGUGAAUUAUUUUAAUAAUAAAGAAAAUUCAGGAAGUUCUAGGUUUUCAAGAAAAAUCACUACUUCAAUAAACAUAAAAAAAACUUAGCCACUAAAUUGGUGAUACCUACGACAUGCAACUGUGUCUAAUUGGUUUUUAAUUUUUAACAUAGAGAUAGAAAAGAGCACAUCAUGUUAUGCUAGACUUUGGCACGAAAGUAAACAUAUGCAUGGAAGGGCACUAGUAAAAAGAGUCAUUUCUUAAUCUUAUGUAAAGUUCAAAGAGAGUACAUGGCAUUUAUUCACUACAGUAUGGAGAUGCUGCAACAUGUUGGAGAAUCUUGCAUUAAUAGUAAAUCGCGAACGGUUUAAACAAGUAGCCUUAAGUGCCCACCAAUGAAAAAGGGUAUACUAAAACUAAGAAAGAAAGUUUUAUUUACAGGCCAUCGAAGCACUCAACCAGAACAAAGCACUUUCCAAACAAAUUCACUAUGCGAGCAAUCACCCCUUGCCUUAAAUAAUUACUAAAGAAAGGCAUAAACAAAUUUACGCUACAGAGGAGCCAAAACAAAUUCGUUCUACCUCUCCUCUCAUAUAUUAUACCGGGUAUAAAUGAUCAUUGAGGAAUCAUGGAAUUUGCUAAUUUUUAUUAAUCGUAACAUCAUUAUUCUUUUGUCAUUUGAGAAGCCGAAGAAUUCAAGAGGCGGUCCUACUAAUGACCCUACCAACUCAACCACAUCAAACUAAUGGCAGUGAGCAAAACUACGUCAAGUCACUGAACAUAGACAAGACACCAUAAACCCGAAAACUAUUGAAGAAAAUCAAAGCACGAAAAUUUAAUUAUGAAAUCCGGUGUAACAAGAUACAAGUAGCCUGAAACUACUAAUCAAAAAUCAAAGUAUGAAACUUUAAAAAUUUAAACCGGCCUUAGCAUGAUACUAAUAGUCUAAAACAAGAUCGAGACAAGCAACUUUACUAUAGGGAUAGUUAUGGUGAUGCGUCAUUAUCCUGAAACCAUUUAACAGACUCAUCACUCGAGUCUUAACCAGCAUAUAGAGUGAGAAUAUUAGAUCAGAACUUAAUUCACAACAUUAUUUCAACCACAAAACACGCUAGAAAGGACUAUUCAUAGAUAAAGUUAGUAGAUUUUAGGACACUUUUGACGAAGAAGCAUGCCUUUAAAAGUACCAAGCAGCAGCAUGAAUUAUAUUUACUCAAAUAUCACCAGAGCGAUGUCUAUCAUGAACAAAACCUACCGCUACCAAAGCCAUCCAUCAACAAACAAAUCUAGCGUACAACGUUACUGAAAAUUUACUCGAAGCUAUAGAAGGUCAAGAUGAAGACAGAGCACUCGAGAACUCAAAGGGAUAGGAGGUUACCUUUCAAGGAGCAGCAAACGGGACUCGAGCUAUCAGCAAAACUAUCCCCACUGGGAGCUAAUGUUGUUGCCUCGGGAAACUUCCCAUUGAUCGACUAGCUUUCCCAGACAUAGUGGAUGAGAAAUUCUUCGCGACAAUAAACUCCUUAAUUUCAGAGUGCCCAACCCAAAUUUUUAAAAACAACUUUUCUAACCAGCCUAAAAUUUCUUUCUUGAUUUCUUUCAAAAACUUCGUCUCUAACCCAAGUUAUCCCUCCUGAAAUAAGACCCUAGAAUUUUCUCUACCAAAACUUCGGACCCUUCCAAGAAGAGAAAAAAAAAACCCCUCAACAGUGACCCCAAGAACCCUUUUAUAGGAGUCGAAUUAGGGUUUCCCUAGGGAUUUCAAAAAGAGGGAGAAACUCCAAAUUUCCACCCGGAUCCCGCUACCCUCCAACAGUCCGUACCCCCUUUGUACCAAAUUCUUUGGAUUUUUCCCCAAAAUGGCAACUAUAAAAUGUGGGAUACUGAAUCCCCUUUUCCAACCAAUGAAAGACGCCCAAGUACGUACCUAAUCCAUACCAAAAUCCUAAAAUCGUGGAAUAUAGCCACUAUACGAGCCAACUCACGCUCUUUCUAGCAGAUUCUCGGAUCUCCCAGGGUAUAACAUCGUGUAGGACGCGUGGAGAGGAUUAAGAUGAGCUAGUUGCGGGUUGAUUCAGGUCUGGUCGAGAAGGGUUCAAAUUCUGGAUUGAUUAGUUGCUGUCGUUAAUGUUGAGCAUCAAGUGUUUUGGUGAAGAAGGAGGGAUAAAAGGGAAUUAUUGAUGUGGGCCGGGUCAGGGGUUUUGGUUGGGCUGAUAUUGGAUUAGUUUUGGGUUGAUGUUAUUAAGUGAGUUGGG